rnacentral:rRNA from 1 species
CUUAUAGACCUUCCUGGAGGAGCUUGCUAUCUAACCGAUAACCCACGUAACACCUUGCCAACUUUUGAACCUUCAGCCUGUAUACCAUCGUCGUCAGUCUACUUCAUGAGAAAAGUAUACAAAAAGAACAAAUGUUCUCAACGCCAGAUCGAGGUGCAGCUUAUAAGUUGGAAAUCAGUGAGCUACAAUAUUUAAACAACUAGACUACAAAUAGAAUUAUGAACGGAUAAUUGAACACAUUAUCCCUAAACAGGAUUCAGAAGUACCGGUUAAUAGACAAUAACCGUGAACAACAAGCUCUAUAAUUCGC